AAACCAUGUAGUGGGCAUGAACUGACAAGAUCCUUGAACUGCUCCUAACAUUGGAAGAAUGUUUCGUCUUCCUUCUGGGUGAAGUUCAUGAUCGACUUUCUAAUUGU